UCCCCCUGCUAGAGGUGCCACCCGUUUUCGGUGGCUGAGAAAUACUCUUAGAACCUGAUCUGGGUCGUGCCAGCGUAGGAAAGCGUCAAAAACUUGCU
rnacentral:ncRNA from 1 species